rnacentral:rRNA from 1 species
AGAGUUUGAUCCUGGCUCAGGAUGAACGCUAGCGGCAGGCUUAACACAUGCAAGUCGAGGGGCAGCGCGGGGCGGCAACGUCCUGGCGGCGACCGGCGGAAGGGUGCGUAACGCGUGAGCGACAUGCCCGUUGCCCGGGGACAACCGGUGGAAACGCCGACUAAUCCCCGAUGGGACGGAGGCCCUCAUGGGUCUCUGUUGAAAGUUACGGCGGCGACGGAUUGGCUCGCGUCCGAUUAGCUUGUUGGCGGGGUAACGGCCCACCAAGGCUACGAUCGGUAGGGGUUCUGAGAGGAAGGUCCCCCACAAUGGAACUGAGACACGGUCCAUACUCCUACGGGAGGCAGCAGUGAGGAAUAUUGGUCAAUGGGCGGAAGCCUGAACCAGCCAUGCCGCGUGCGGGAAGGAGGCCCUAUGGGCUGUGAACCGCUUUUGCCUGGGGGCAAUAAGGGCGUCGCGCACGUCCGAUGAGAGUACCAGGGGAAUAAGCAUCGGCUAACUCCGUGCCAGCAGCCGCGGUAAUACGGGGGAUGCGAGCGUUAUCCGGAUUCAUUGGGUUUAAAGGGUGCGUAGGCUGUGCGUCAAGUCAGGGGUGAAAUUCCGGGGCUCAACUCCGGGGCUGCCCUUGAUACUGUCGCGCUGGAGUGCGGAUGCCGCCGGAGGAAUGAGUGGUGUAGCGGUGAAAUGCUUAGAUAUCACUCAGAACACCGAUUGCGAAGGCAUCUGGCGAAUCCGUAACUGACGCUGAGGCACGAAAGCGUGGGGAUAGAACAGGAUUAGAUACCCUGGUAUUCCACGCCGUAAACGAUGAUGGCUAACCGCCGGCGACACACUGUCGGUGGCCAAGCGAAAGCGAUAAGCCAUCCACCUGGGGAGUACGUCGGCAACGAUGAAACUCAAAGGAAUUGACGGGGGCCCGCACAAGCGGAGGAACAUGUGGUUUAAUUCGAUGAUACGCGAGGAACCUUACCCGGGCUCGAACGGCGCCUGAACCACCCAGAGAUGGGUGGGUCUUCGGACAGGUGCCGAGGUGCUGCAUGGUUGUCGUCAGCUCGUGCCGUGAGGUGUCGGCUCAAGUGCCAUAACGAGCGCAACCCCUGCCGCCAGUUGCCAUCAGGUGAAGCUGGGCACUCUGGCGGGACUGCCACCGCAAGGUGUGAGGAGGGGGGGGAUGACGUCAAAUCAGCACGGCCCUUAC